rnacentral:piRNA from 1 species
UAGUAACUGAGAGGAGAUGGACACACA